rnacentral:rRNA from 1 species
AUUGAACGCUGGCGGCAGGCCUAACACAUGCAAGUCGAGCGGAUGAAGGGAGCUUGCUCCUGGAUUCAGCGGCGGACGGGGGAGUAAUGCCUAGGAAUCUGCCUGGUAGUGGGGGAUAACGUCCGGAAACGGGCGCUAAUACCGCAUACGUCCUGCGGGAGAAAGUGGGGGAUCUUCGGACCUCACGCUAUCAGAUGAGCCUAGGUCGGAUUAGCUAGUUGGUGGGGUAAAGGCCUACCAAGGCGACGAUCCGUAACUGGUCUGAGAGGAUGAUCAGUCACACUGGAACUGAGACACGGUCCAGACUACUACGGGAGGCAGCAGUGUGGAAUAUUGGACAGUGGGCGAAAGCAUGAUCCAGCCAUGCCGCGUGUGUGACGAAGGUCUUCGGAUUGUAAAGCACGUUAAGUUGGGAGGAAGGGCAGUAAGUCGAUACCUUGCUGGUUUGACGUUACCAACAGAAGAAGCACCGGCUAACUUCGUG